GACGAAACUGCUAGCUGGCCCGCCACGCAAGUGUGUGAGUGCCGGCUUGGCGUUUGUCAUCCGUUCGAAUGAUAUGCGUGCUGCCCUUCACUGGGUUGGCGCUGCAUGUUUUCGAUCUUUUACUUUGAAAAAAUUAGAGUGUUUCAAGCAGGCAUGUUUUGCUAUGAAUACAUUAGCAUGGAAUAAUAAUCUAGGACUUUCGGUUCUAUUUUGUUGGUGUUCUGGAGCUGAAGUA
rnacentral:rRNA from 1 species